rnacentral:rRNA from 1 species
AUUGAACGCUGGCGGCAGGCUUAACACAUGCAAGUCGAACGAGUGGCGGACGGGUGAGUAAUGCUUGGGAAUCUGGCUUAUGGAGGGGGAUAACGACGGGACACUGUCGCUAAUACCGCGUACCAUAGGAUGAGCCCAAGUGGGAUUAGGUAGUUGGUGGGGUAAUGGCCGACCAAACCGACGAUCGCUAGCUGGUCUGAGAGGAUGACCAGCCACACCGCGACUGAGACACGGCCCGGACUCCAACGGGAGGCAGCAGUGGGGAAUAUUGCGCAAUGGGAGCAACCUGGCGCGGCCAAGCCGCGUGAAUGAAGGAGGCCUUCGGGUUUUAAAGUUCUUUCGGUGACGAGGCGUUAAUCACAGAAGAAGCACCGGCUAACUCCGUGCCAGCAGCCGCGGUAAUAC